AUCGUUAAACACUGUACACCCCGAGUUAAUCUAAACGUCAAUUAAAAACGGAAUAUUUUAUCAUAAAACCCAUCAGAACAGCACACGCACGUAUACAAACGCACCCUAGGUGUAUAAUGUUUGUUUUAACACUUUCUUCCGCUGACUACGGACGCCGUAUACAUUGUGUGAAUGGCAACGCAAACGCUCUCGUACACUGAACCGGAUU